rnacentral:lncRNA from 1 species
UUGGAAAUUUAUUGUUGUUUGUCUAUUGAUUUAAAUCUAUUCAUAAGUAAUUUUUGAUACUUGUGCAGAUCUUGAUGGAGCUAAAAGACUAAAGAAGUGCCUUAACAUAUUGUAUAUCUUUAGGCUAUUCCUCAUUAUUGUGUCUCCAUAAGAUUUGUGCGGUGUGGGUACAACUAUUUAUCGCAAUUGUAUAUGUGAUAC